UUAUUUUUUAUAUGUCUAAGUAAAUGAAGUAGUAAAUGUUAGCAUUAAAUUUCAAUAAUUUGGCGGUAUAUUAAUUAAUUAGAGGAAUUUGUUGAGUAAAUGAUAAUCCACGAUAGGAAUGUCUUAUUAAUUUUUAUGUAUUGUUGUUUAAAAAUUAUUUUAUUAGAAUUAUAAUUAAAAAAUUUAUUUAUUAAAAAUUCAAAUCAAAAUGUAGAGUUAUUAAGUUUAAAUGAAUUACAUUAAAUUAAAUUUAGUAUUUAUUAAAUUAAAAUUAAUAAUAUAGAAUUUAAAAGUAAAUUUAUAAAAUUAUAUAAAUUGAAUAUUUAUUUAAUAUAUG
rnacentral:rRNA from 1 species